GAUAUACUCCCUCCGUCCCAAAAUAAGUGACUCAAGUUUGUACUAACUUUAGUAUAAAGUUAGUACAAACUUGAGUCACUUAUUUUAUAAAGUUAGUACAAACUUGAGUCACUUAUUUUGGGACGGAGGGAGUAUAUA
rnacentral:pre_miRNA from 1 species